ensembl:lncRNA
UGUUUAUUGUGCAAGGAUGCUUGGUUUAUUCACUUUGGCUUUUUAUUUGCUGAGGUCAUAGAUCUUGAUCUGAAGGGAAGAGAUUCAAUAGGCAGAUGAACAUCAGCCAGCGUGGGAUGAUAAAGAGGUCCUGGCUAUGGGUUGGAGGUGACUCCACACCACCACGUCGGUGAUCCGUUAUGCCUAAAAUGAUGUCUCGGCUCUAGACUGUUUGCUGCUGUUGCACCAUUGUGCCCGCGGUCCAUUCGAUUAUACUGGCAGAGAUGCGUCCUUGCAAACGCACACGUUGCCUCAAAUGCAAAAGGGUCAGCACCUCGGUUGCACAGCUCAGUUCAUGUCAGCGCUGAUGGACACCAGCUGAAGACCUGGCUCUCCAUUGAACAAGCUAAGCAAAACCAGUGGAUGGUUAAUGGGGUUAUAGGAGAGGCAAGAGGGAGUAAUGGGGCAACCUGCCAAACGUCUGAGAUGUCUAUAGACAAAUACCAGGAGCACAGGAAAUAUACAGGAAGAACGCUCCCCGGCGCUGGAACCAGGCUCCAAGAACUAAAAAGGGAGGUAUCCAAAAGGUUUGCUGGCAAAUGGUGAGAGUGUUUCAGGUGGGGUCCUGUGGGGUCCUUGCUGGGUUUGGUACAAGUCCAUGCUUUUAAGGAUGAUUUGGAUGAUAGUACACUUGCAAAACAUGUCAAAACACCCAUCUGAUGUGUGCACUUUUGAGGACAGGAUUAAAACUCAAAAUCAUCCAGGCAGGGAAUACGUGCUUUUUGUCAGUGGUACCUCGACUUCUCCCCUGAGAGACCUCUUAAGAAACACGACGCUGACCAAUUAACUCUCAUUGCAUUCAAAAACACAAAUGCCCUGGCAUGACCUUGAUAAAUACUCACUUGCCUUAGCUUUUCUUUCUCCUUCAAAUCCAAUGAUAGGUGAAAGGGUGGAGCUAUGCUCCAUGGGUUACCAGUGGUUUUCAAUCUUUUUUCAUUUAUGGACCCCUAAAAAAAUUGGAAUGUAGGUGCGGCAUGCGGACCCCUUUGGAAAUUUCUAAUGGACGUGUGGAUCCCUUUGAACUGUAAGUGUGGGUAUUCGCAUACGUUUGAUUGAGUAUAGUCAUCUUUUGCAGAUGCCUUAGACAUAGCCGGCAGACCCCAGGGGUCCGUGGACCACAGGUUGAAAACCACUGGUUUAACCCAUCCCUACAUAAACAGACACAUCAUGGCAUGCAUGCUGGAGGCCUGGAGAUGCAUGCUCUGUGCAAUGUGUGGCCUUUAUGGCAACAAGCUGUGCUACUUGGUACUCAGGGAAGGCUCUGUUUUCCAUGAAAUAUUUGGUCUAUCCAUAGUGUGUAACCCCACAAUCUAAGUACCGAUAACCCUGCAGAAAAUCCAACCCACCCAAUACAGAACAGGGUUUCUGCAGCAUUGAAACCCACCUCAUCCUUCAAAUUAGGGAAGAACUAGUGCAGAGUAUCCCCUUCACAGGGCUGGGUUUCAUCCCAUACUCUCUGAAUAUAGUCCCUUGAGAAGUAAUUUAAACUGCAGUUAUAAUAACGCCUUGCUGAAGCCAGUCAAAGAGAUGAUAUAGGUGGGGCAGGAGUGUUUGUUUUUUAUUGUAUUAUUUUUUUUAAAGAAAACUGCAUGUAAUAAAGAUAGGCGUUAAAGAAAUACA